GAUUUCAAAGUGUUUAAGUGUUCAGAGCACUCUACAGCCUGGUAAGGUGGCAAGUUUGAAAAGAGCAGCAGAAGGUAUCAGUACUGUAGUGUAACUUGUUCUUUUCCUUUCCUAACAGUGAACAGAGUGCCGAUUAUUAUCGACAGCUACGUCCACCCGGGGUGAAAGUAGUGUGGGAGACCAUCAGGACCCAGCUGGGUUUCCUUGGUCCAGAGGUUUGGAGAAACCUCUUCCUUUUCUUUCAUCACAGCUGUCCUGUGCCAGAUGUUCUGUUGACCCACUGAGAGAGGCGUGUUUGAGAAAGAUCAGGAAGACUGAAGCUCAUGGUAGGAAUGAAGGAGGACCUUGUGAGCUCCACCAGCAGCUCCCUCACAAGGAACUGUUCACAAGUCCACUGCAGGCACGCCCCAGAAGAUGGAUAAAGGCAGCGUUUCAUGAAGACACUGGAACCAAUCUAUCUUCAUAACAGCAGGAUAAAGACAUGGUGAUAAAUGAGUGUGUGGGCCGUCUGCUGAGGACCAGGAGCUCAGGACACUCAGACGGGGGCGUCGCAGCAGGAGUCACCGCGCACCACAAUCCUCUGCUGUUCUGAGAUGUCACACUCCUGCCUGCACAUAGAAACCACAGUGAAGUCAAAGUUCCACCUGCACCUCCACCUGUUCUUGCAACAGCAUGAACACUGACAGAGGAGGAAGGUGGAGGCGCAGCUCCAGCAGAGCAACACCAGAGGU